UGGGGAAUUUUGGACAAUGGGCGAAAGCCUGAUCCAGCAAUGCCGCGUGUGUGAAGAAGGCCUUCGGGUUGUAAAGCACUUUUGUCCGGAAAGAAAUCCUUGGCUCUAAUACAGUCGGGGGAUGACGGUACCGGAAGAAUAAGCACCGGCUAACUACGUGCCAGCAGCCGCGGUAAUACGUAGGGUGCAAGCGUUAAUCGGAAUUACUGGGCGUAAAGCGUGCGCAGGCGGUUUGCUAAGACCGAUGUGAAAUCCCCGGGCUCAACCUGGGAACUGCAUUGGUGACUGGCAGGCUAGAGUAUGGCAGAGGGGAGUAGAAUUCCACGUGUAGCAGUGAAAAUGCGUAGAGAUGUGGAGGAAUACCGAUGGCGAAGGCAGCCCCCUGGGCCAAAUACUGACGCUCAUGCACGAAAAGCGUGGGGAGCAAAACAGGAUUAGAUACCCUGGUAGUCCACGCCCUAAAACGAUGUCAACUAGUUGUUGGGGGAUUCAUUUCCUUAGUAACGUAGCUAACGCGUGAAGUUGACCGCCUGGGGAGUACGGUCGCAAGAUUAAAAACUUAAAGGAAUUGACGGGGUCAUAGCUGUUUCCU
rnacentral:rRNA from 1 species